GCUGGGCAUGGUGGCGUGUGCCUGUAAUCCCAGCUACUUGGGAGGCUGAGACAGGAGAAUCGCUUGAACCCGGGAGGCAGAGGGUGCAGUGAGCUGAGAUCACGCCACUGCACUCCAGCCUGGGCAACAAGAGUGAAACUCUGUCUCAA
ensembl:misc_RNA Metazoa_SRP Metazoan signal recognition particle RNA